ACAAGGUUUCCGUAGGUGAACCUGCGGAAGGAUCAUUAAUGAAAUGUAAGGAUGCUCUUUUUAGAGAUCCGACCAAAUUCAUUCCUUCACACCGUGCACAACACACUUUUUUACACCCAUUUUAAACACUAUAAGUCUUAAGAAUGUCAACAGUCUCUUAGUUGAGCAUAAACAAAACAAGACUUUCGGCAACGGAUCUCUUGGCUCCCGCAUCGAUGAAGAACGCAGCGAAAUGCGAUACGUAAUGUGAAUUGCAGAAUUCAGUGAAUCAUCGAAUCUUUGAACGCACCUUGCACUCUUUGGUAUUCCGAAGAGUAUGUCUGUUUGAGUGUCGUGAAACUCUCAACCCCCCUAUUUUGUAAUGAGGUAGGUUUGUGGGCUUGGAUUAUGGUUGUCUGUCGGACCUCUUUCUUGAGCCGGCUCAGCUGAAAUACACGAGCGACCCAUACUUUGCAGUUGAUUGACGGCUUGACUCGGCGUAAUAAUUCUAUUCGUUGGGGAUCGUUGAUUGCUCAGAGGUUGUUGGCGCUUCUAAUGCGACUCUAACCAAGUCACUUUAACCUUUAGACCUCAAAUCAGUCAGGACUACCCGCUGAACUUAAGCAUAUCAAUAAGCGGAGGAAAAGAAACUAACNAGGAUUCCCCUAGUAACGGCGAGUGAAG
rnacentral:rRNA from 1 species